UACGAGGGGAGCAAGCGUUGUUCGGAUUUACUGGGCGUAAAGGGCGCGUAGGCGGUCGUGACAAGUCACUUGUGAAAUCUCCGGGCUUAACUCGGAACGGUCAAGUGAUACUGUCGGACUAGAGUACAGAAGGGGCAACUGGAAUUCUCGGUGUAGCGGUGAAAUGCGUAGAUAUCGAGAGGAACACCGGUGGCGAAGGCGGCGACCUGGUCCUUGACUGACGCUGAGGCGCGAAAGCGUGGGGAGCAAACAGG
rnacentral:rRNA from 1 species